rnacentral:rRNA from 2 species
UUGAAGAGUUUGAUCAUGGCUCAGAUUGAACGCUGGCGGCAGGCCUAACACAUGCAAGUCGAACGGUAACAGGAAACAGCUUGCUGUUUCGCUGACGAGUGGCGGACGGGUGAGUAAUGUCUGGGAAACUGCCUGAUGGAGGGGGAUAACUACUGGAAACGGUAGCUAAUACCGCAUAACGUCGCAAGACCAAAGAGGGGGACCUUAGGGCCUCUUGCCAUCGGAUGUGCCCAGAUGGGAUUAGCUAGUAGGUGGGGUAAAGGCUCACCUAGGCGACGAUCCCUAGCUGGUCUGAGAGGAUGACCAGCCACACUGGAACUGAGACACGGUCCAGACUCCUACGGGAGGCAGCAGUGGGGAAUAUUGCACAAUGGGCGCAAGCCUGAUGCAGCCAUGCCGCGUGUAUGAAGAAGGCCUUCGGGUUGUAAAGUACUUUCAGCGGGGAGGAAGGGAGUAAAGUUAAUACCUUUGCUCAUUGACGUUACCCGCAGAAGAAGCACCGGCUAACUCCGUGCCAGCAGCCGCGGUAAUACGGAGGGUGCAAGCGUUAAUCGGAAUUACUGGGCGUAAAGCGCACGCAGGCGGUUUGUUAAGUCAGAUGUGAAAUCCCCGGGCUCAACCUGGGAACUGCAUCUGAUACUGGCAAGCUUGAGUCUCGUAGAGGGGGGUAGAAUUCCAGGUGUAGCGGUGAAAUGCGUAGAGAUCUGGAGGAAUACCGGUGGCGAAGGCGGCCCCCUGGACGAAGACUGACGCUCAGGUGCGAAAGCGUGGGGAGCAAACAGGAUUAGAUACCCUGGUAGUCCACGCCGUAAACGAUGUCGACUUGGAGGUUGUGCCCUUGAGGCGUGGCUUCCGGAGCUAACGCGUUAAGUCGACCGCCUGGGGAGUACGGCCGCAAGGUUAAAACUCAAAUGAAUUGACGGGGGCCCGCACAAGCGGUGGAGCAUGUGGUUUAAUUCGAUGCAACGCGAAGAACCUUACCUGGUCUUGACAUCCACGGAAGUUUUCAGAGAUGAGAAUGUGCCUUCGGGAACCGUGAGACAGGUGCUGCAUGGCUGUCGUCAGCUCGUGUUGUGAAAUGUUGGGUUAAGUCCCGCAACGAGCGCAACCCUUAUCCUUUGUUGCCAGCGGUCCGGCCGGGAACUCAAAGGAGACUGCCAGUGAUAAACUGGAGGAAGGUGGGGAUGACGUCAAGUCAUCAUGGCCCUUACGACCAGGGCUACACACGUGCUACAAUGGCGCAUACAAAGAGAAGCGACCUCGCGAGAGCAAGCGGACCUCAUAAAGUGCGUCGUAGUCCGGAUUGGAGUCUGCAACUCGACUCCAUGAAGUCGGAAUCGCUAGUAAUCGUGGAUCAGAAUGCCACGGUGAAUACGUUCCCGGGCCUUGUACACACCGCCCGUCACACCAUGGGAGUGGGUUGCAAAAGAAGUAGGUAGCUUAACCUUCGGGAGGGCGCUUACCACUUUGUGAUUCAUGACUGGGGUGAAGUCGUAACAAGGUAACCGUAGGGGAACCUGCGGUUGGAUCACCUCCUU